rnacentral:rRNA from 1 species
AUUGAACGCUGGCGGCAUGCUUUACACAUGCAAGUCGAACGGCAGCACGAAAGAGCUUGCUCUUUUGGUGGCGAGUGGCGAACGGGUGAGUAAUGCAUCGGAACGUACCGAGUAAUGGGGGAUAACUAUCCGAAAGGAUAGCUAAUACCGCAUACGCUUUGAGAAGGAAAGUGGGGGCUCUUCGGACCUCACGUUAUUCGAGCGGCCGAUGUCUGAUUAGCUAGUUGGUGGGGUAAAGGCCUACCAAGGCGACGAUCAGUAGCGGGUCUGAGAGGAUGAUCCGCCACACUGGGACUGAGACACGGCCCAGACUCCUACGGGAGGCAGCAGUGGGGAAUUUUGGACAAUGGGCGCAAGCCUGAUCCAGCCAUGCCGCGUGUCUGAAGAAGGCCUUCGGGUUGUAAAGGACUUUU